AUAGUACUCCCUCCGUCUCAUAUUAAAUGACUUUCCAUUACAUGUAUCUAGACAGUUUUUAGGCAUAGAUACAUCCAUAUUUAGACAAAUUUGAGUCACUUAGUAUGUGAUGGAGUGAGUAGUUU
rnacentral:pre_miRNA from 1 species